rnacentral:rRNA from 1 species
UACGUAGGCAGCAAGCGUUGUUCGGAAUUACUGGGCGUAAAGAGUGUGUAGGCGGUGUUCUAAGUCUGGUGUGAAAUCUCCGCUUAACUGGGAGGUGCGCCGGAAACUGGAGUGCUUGAGCGCGGGAGAGGAAAGCGGAAUUCCUGGUGUAGCGGUGAAAUGCGUAGAUAUCAGGAGGAACACCAAUUGCGAAGGCAGCUCGCUGGGACGUUACUGACGCUGAGACGCGAAAGCGUGGGGAGCAAACAGG